GGACGGUGAAGUUUGAUAUUUUGGUCUUGUUCGUCGGAACGGGCAUUUAUUUGCCUUGCCGACCAUCCUGCUAUAUCACCACCCAUAUGUUGAUGCU
rfam:Hordeum vulgare subsp. vulgare, WGS project CAJW01000000 data, contig: morex_contig_44740